UGUUCAUCGUUCAUUCGGUUCGAGCCCGCGGUCCCACCUGGCUCGUGGGCGCCAGCCGGCCCCAGAAGAGUUCAAGAUCAAGACUUCGCGAUCCGUCCUGUACGCCGUUUGUCAAGUCAAGUCCGUCUUGUCGAAGUUUGGGUCGCGCCGCGCUUAGCUUGCUCGCGUCUACCGUGCCGCAUCGCAUCACAUCAUCAGCUCGACGUGAAGAUGAAGACCGCCCCCGCACUCCGCUCCAGCCUCGUGGCUUCCGCGACUCCCUUCCCUUGCGCCCGGUUUUUGAUUCCGAUUUUCGUGUAUGUUGCCAUUGGUCACUUUUUCACCUCAGAUUUGCUGGUCUAUCUCUGGCACUGGGAUGAACAAGUGACGUCAAAAUGGCGUUUCAACAGGCGUUGAACGGUAGUGAAAAUGAUCGCGAAGUCGCGCCGGCCCCGUCCGUGUGGCUCAUUUGACUGUUCUGUUGUUGCACCCGUACUAUGUCACCUGUCACCACACACGGCUGCGCGCCCCGCCGUGGCCCACGCGCCCCUCGGGUUUUGUUUUGAUUCCGACUUUGGCGAUUUUCUUUCCCUCACUUUUUCACCUCAGGUUUGCUGGUUAAUCUCCGGUUCUGGGACGAACAAGCGAGGUAAAUAAGGCGUUUCAAUCUGUGUUGAGCCGGAGUGAAGCGAUCGCCAAGCCGUGCCGCCCCGUGUGGCUUGAUUUGUCGCUGUUUAGCAGACACUGCGCCGGCUCGCCCCGCCGCGCGCCCCGCGCUCCGCCUCCGCGGCAGGUCUUAUUUUCUACCUUUUGACUGAGGUAGAAGCCCUUUGGUGCCUGGUGCUACCCCGGCUCGCCUGGCGCGGAUGCGUAACGGUGAGCGAUAUAACCGGGCUGCCUGACCGCCGUCUUCGCCAGGAGGGUGGUUCCGCACGGUGUUUUGUUCUCUCCGUCCUUGUCGCACUCCGCUGCCACCAGGAGGGAGAGGGCGCGACUAUAAACACCGCGCGGAAUCGCCCUGCAGAUCUGUGGGCCUCGCUCGGCAUUCAAACGUCUUCUACAUCGAGCCUAUUUGGUCGGCACCGAUGUUUCGGUGUACCUAGCGCCCACGUCGGCUGCUGUUUGGACGCGCCCGUGCGCCCGUGCAGAGGCUCGCGCAGGGAAUGCCCUCUCGUGCCCCGCGCAGUCUUUCGCGAAACGCGUGGUCCGCGCCCGCGGACCACAGCCCGGCCCCUUCGGUUUGUGUAUCCCCUCGUGUGCAUCGCCAGCAAGAACUCCAGGUGCAUCGCCAGCGAGAGAAGCCCACGAUGUCCUCCGGCCGCCGGAUGCCCCGUCCAAGUCGACUCCCAGCCCCAGCGCAUCCACCGCAUCCAGCUGGGCGAGCGCUGAGGUGGCGGCGUGGUCGCAGCUCAUGCCGCUGCCGCUGCCAAAGGUAGGCCUCGUCGUUCGCCGCUAGAGUUUGUGUACAAUCGCUUCUUUAAAGCCCAGUACGGCACCCAUUUCUUUUAAGGUUUCAGGUCUACUUAGCGAUACGUAACUUUAACUUUACUAGGGGGCUAAUAACACUUCCAAAGGGUACUCAUCUCCAAUACACAACAAAGCUAUGACUGCAUAUUGCAUUGUCGAACAAUGCUCUCGAGUCCUUUCGCGCCGUUGUUUUGCUGCAGUCCGUGUUCAUUUUCCACGAUCGCUCGUCGAUGUUAAAUAACUGAUUAUUUCGCUCACUUCGGGAUCCGGAAUUAAAUUGGAUUACCAUUUAAUUUUAAGUUUUUUUCAACCGCGAUAUAAUUAAAAUAUUUUUCAACCGCGAUAUCAUUUAAAGUUUUAUCAACCGCGAUUUAUUACAUAUUUUAAAUUUCAUAACUUAACGAAGACUUUGGAGAACAUUCUUCACUCUUCAAGGUCAGUCGUGUGUCCCAUUAGAACGUCGUCAUGCUUUGUGUUAAGCCUAAUUUCCUAUAUUAUGUCCUAGCGCUAGCCUGGCCCCCGCUGCUGUUUGACUCCGUCUCGACUCGGCUUGUGCUGCUGAGCUGUCUCCGCGUCUCGCUCGCAGUCGCGGGGAAGCACCACCGCUGUCGGCCGCUACGCUGCUGAGCCUCGGACUCGGAGUGCGCGCCGCCGCCGCCGCCGCCGCAGUUGGACUUUAUGGGAUUAACAAUCUAGUAGACAUCUCGGUUUUGCCGUGACGAGCCCCUUCCUAGACGCUGAUGGCCGUGGUCAGCAGACCGCACAGCUGCCCCGCCCGUCGAGACCUCAGCCGCCUUCUCUGCUCUGGACUCCACCCUGGGAGAGCCAAGCUGUGCGUCACCACCACCAGGUCACCGCGGCCUCGUCGCCGCGGAGGGCCGCUCCCGUGUCUUCAUGGUCGUCUACGCUGCGAAGUAACCUUGAGACACGCCUGCACUCGUCAGCUGCAGCAGCCGCCCGCCCCGCACCCCCACCGGCGCCUCCGCGGGACAUCCUCUAGCCAACGUUUCAGCUCCAUUCCAGGCCAGUUCCAGUACCACCCCUGUCAGCAGGAAUUCAGUGCGGUCAGCGAGGACAUCUCGACUCCAGGACCCCCGUCAACAUACAUCAGCCCACUUGGGUCAGCUAAGGCAUCUCGACUCCAAUCCCUGUAGGAUCUCCAGGACUCUCCAACCUGAUAUUGGACUCCGCUUCUAACUCUGCUUUGCUGUCUCAGAGUAACCAGAAAAGGUUCAUCCUUGGUGACCAUGCCGCAGGCCAACAGCUCCCACAACUCUAAUUUGGUGCGAAAUUAUCUGGAACCUGCCACACUUUGGAUGCAUUGGCUGCAAUAAUGUCAGAUAAUAAAUACCUUCAAUAUAUCCAGUUCGAGGCCAGUUCCAGUUCCACCCCCUGUCAACAGGAAUUCACUGCGGCCAGCGAAGACAUCUCGACCCUGAUACUCGCAAGACCUCCAGGACUACACCCCGACAUAGCUUCCUGCUUCUAACUCUGCUUUGCUGUCUCCAAGAAUAACCAGAAAAGGUAAG